UCUCGUCCAGAUCCAACGGAACGGCUAGUUUUAAGAGCUUAUCUUUUUAAGAUCUUCCACCACUUUUGUUUCGAGAGAUUCAAAUGUUCCCCUCGUCCUUGGCGGCAAUAGGAUAAUUCUGUUUGACGGACUGGGAUGAAGGUACUCCUCUUUCUCACAUUUAGUACAAGCCGCUCCUCUUUUCAAGUAUUCGGAUAGUGCCCAAAUUCAGAUCAUUACCUCAAUUGGCGAGAAAUCCCAAAAGCAAGAGAAACAACAAGACAAGGAUGGGGAAGAAAAUGAUUGCAGAAAUGGGAAACGUGAGAAGGUGGACAAUGCAAAGAGGAAACGAUUACAGAAACCUCAACAGAAGGAUUUCCAAGUGCAGAACAAGCUCAAAAAAGGCAGCAAAAGGCGCCCCUGUUUGUGAGAAAGCCCAACAACAUUUGAAACAAGUAGAAGGGUACGAAGAAGAAGAAGAUGGUGAUGGUGUGAUUUGCAGCGUAUGUGGUGGUCAUGAUAGUGUUUUUGUGAUGGUUCGCGCUAGCUGCUAUGGAGAUCCAUUGUUUAAAGCUAUUCCAGAUGGGGACUGAUUCUGUGCAUGGUGUAUGCACUCUACAGCAGGGCAAUCCAAGUCAGUCAAGAAUGUGGUGCCAACGAAGAAAGGAUUUAAGACUAUCAUGAUUACUGAGAAGUUCAAUUGCAGGGCAAGAGACAUGAGGUGCUUAUGGAUAAGAAUAGAUGGAGGGCUUGCAAUAGAGUAAUGCAAAUACGUGUAGAGAAGUUGAUGGUGGGUUUUUGGUCCUUAAUGGGGCUAUUAUGUGUGUCAAUUAGGAGUUCCUGCAAGACAGGCAUAUUGUUCAGAAAUUGAGAUUUCAAAGCAGGUUUGAUUGACUUUAUUUUA